rnacentral:misc_RNA from 1 species
CCCCCAACUGGAGGAGCUAGAG